CCUCACGGCCCUCGCAGGGAAUAAUUCACCCGAAAACCGAGCACGGCGCUGGGCACCGGGUCCGGCCGCUCCCCCAGCACUGCCAGCACCAUCCGGGCCCCCAAGUGCCACAUCCCCACGGCUUUUGUAUCCCUGCAGGGAUGCGGGCUCCACCACUGCCCUGCGUGAAAACUCUGGUGAGGCCGUUUUCCCAGGAUCCAAACUAAACCUCCCUGGCACAGCUUGAAGGACCCAAGCUCUCCUCCCCCGCAACUAUUUCAGGUGUCGCUGCCUCGUUAGAACACUCCAUUUUCUGUAUGUAAUAAAACGGGUAGAAAAGGUGCAGAAUAAGUCCUUGGUACAGAACUGUGUAGCCUGAUUUUCUCCACCAGAACAUGAGCAAGAACUUUCCCUUGCAGUGACCAAGCACUGAACAGAUUGCCCAGGGAGGGGUACAAUCUCCCUCCCUGGAGAUAUUCCAGAACUGUCUGGACACGAUCCUGAGCCUGUGCUCUGGGAUGGCCCUGCUGGAGCAGGGAGGUGGCACCAGGUGACCCCACUGUGGUCCCUUCCAGCCUCAUUGUUCUGUGGUUCUGAGAUUCUAUGUGCAUUUGAUGAGCCUCAGCUCCGUGGCUGGGCAGAUCAUGGAACAGAUUUCCCAGAAGCUGUGCUAGGGCUCUCCUGGAGGACGGGGAGGUGAUUUGGGACAGCAACAGCUCCAUCAAGGUCAAGUCCUGCUUGAUCAACCAAGGGGCCUUCUAUGAUGGAGUGACCACAUGGAGUGGACAAGGGAAGGGCUAUGGAUGUCACCUGUCUGGACUUCUGUAAAGCCUUUAACACAGUCCCACACAACUUUCUUCUGUCUCUCCAUAGAGAUGAAUUUUAUGGAUGGACUGUUUGGUGGAUAAGGAAUUGGCUGGAUGGUCACAUCCACAGUGCAGUGGUUGACUCAAUGUCCAGAUGAAGAUCAGAUGUGUCCCUCAGGUCUGUUUGGCACCAUUAUGAUUUAAAGUCUUCAUCAAAGACAUGAACGGGAGGAUCAGGUGCACCCUCAGCAGAUUUGCACAUAACUCCAAGCUGAGUGGUGUGGCUGACAUGCCUGAGGGAUGGGAUUCCAUCCAGGCUGGAUGGGGCUCUGAACAACCUGAUCUAGGUGAAGAUGUUCCUGUGCAUUGCAGUGGGGCUGGGCUAUCUGAUCUUCGAAGGUCCCUUCCAAUCCAAACCAAAUAAGUCAAAGUAAUUAAGCUUAAGCAAAAUUAUUCCAAAAAAAAUGCAAAAAGCUUGAAAGCUUAGAAUCCUAAAAUGACAAUUUUCUGUUACCAGCAAACUGUAUCCACCUUCUUUUGUAGUGCUCCUUUAUAGAAAUCUCAGGAUGUAUUAGACCAUUACAAGUGAAAACUGAGGUAGGCAAGAGGGACUUUACCUCUUGUAUCCAUCCCUUCCUAAGGUUAAAAACAACAGAGAAUUUCACUAAACAAAGAUUAACAUUACUCACUGCUGAAGAGGAUAAAUGCACAGUGAUGCAGUGCAUAAUUUGUGGGUGCUUAUCCCUAUUAGUGGGGCCAACAGCUCUGAAUUUAAGCAUUUACUUAAGCUUCCUAUUCAAGGCACAGGACAAUUGCCUACAUUUUUAUACCUAACUCAAAGCAGCAAAUAAAUGCACUUUUCCAGUGAGAUUAAACAUCCAGGAGCCUCUGUCAUUGCUGGGUGCUUGAGGGUGGGACUUCACAGGGACUUGUGUGAACCUCACUCCAGGGCUGCCAAGUUCUCCUGUGCAAAAGCCCUCAGAGCUGUCCCAGUGGUCCAUGAGAUGAUGAUCUGACUGGAAAGUAGCAACAGAGAAAUAAGAUUCCUUUUCAAUCAAAUAAACUUGCAAAUGUUGCUGGCCUGGGAGAUGAAUACUGGAAGUGUGCAGGCAGUCAACAAAAUUAUAUAUUUAAUAGACAUGGUUUUGUAACAGUUCUGCUAUAACAGUCCUUAAGCUAAAAAUUAUUAGAAAUGCUGAUGGAUUGUUAAAAAAUCAAAUAUGAAGACCUAAAAUUUAAAUGUGACAUUCACAUAAGUUUAGGCUUUGGUUGGCAAAGAUGUUAAUUAAAUGAGAUUUGCCUGCAUCCUUGCUUCAUGGCUGUCUUGCUGCAUCUAUUCAGUGAAACUGAUAAAGCUGCUCUGUAGAAGCCCAGAAUAAAGUUCUGAUGAAAACAAAUCAAAAGAAAGCAAAAAACCAAAAGAAACCCCAGUUUUGCUGCUUCCUAAAGCUUUCGGAAGCCUAGGUAUGUGAUCAGGAUUGCUGGUCAAUAAAGCUUAAUUAAUAAAGCUGGAUAAUAAAGCA